AAUAAUAAUAUUAAAAAUAGUAGAAUCUAUAUUCACAUUAGCAUUUUGAUUGAGAAUGGAAUAUGAAAUUUAAAACAAAACGUGGAAACAGAUUUAAGUUUGAAAUUUGAAUUUGAGCAUAAGUUGGAAAUGAGAAAUAAAAAAUAGAAAAGAAAAACAGAGCUAAAUAGACUAGAACCCUCAAUUUCGGCCGAUCCCCACGUCCCAUCCCGCGCGGCCCACGAAGCCAACCCCCUUGUCCUUUCUUCCACGCGCCGUCCCUCUGAAGUGUGGACCCUGCGCGUCGGCCUUCCCCUUGGUCACUUGCGCGUGGUGCCGGAUUGGGAGGAUCAUCUCCCUCCCGAGAUCCUUGCCGGGUUGUUGCAACGGCACGCAGAAAUUGGCUGGGAAUCCCGAUGCUUCCUCAUGGCAAUUUAUGCGGAGCUUCUUGCCUCUACUGCCCCGGACGACCGCUGCGAAACCAGGCGUCCACGAACGGGAAACCAAGCACCGCCACCGGGGAAAGGGGAACUCGCGCCACCGCGGUCGGUUCUCACCUUGACCGCCGUUCCAACCCCGAAGACCAGCUCGGAGAAAGCGCAGACCUCGGGGGAAAAGCACAGAGGCGCCUAAGGGCUCUGGGGUCACCUGGUGUCACCUCAAUUGCUCACCGGGGUUUGGAUUCCGCCGCAGGACCGCCUCAUCGCGUGGUCAUUCCCUCCCGGUGCCCGAUCUGAGGUAAGAAACCAUACAAGCCGUUCGCCUUGUCCUGCUCCGCGUGUUCCUCAAUUCGGUUGCGAGUUUGGGGCACUGGACGCGCCAGCACGGUACUCCGGUGAUGGCGCUGCCGCGGGGAAAGCUCUGCGCUGUCGUCUGCGUGUAGUCGGGUGGAGACGAUGGUCUUCGGACCGUUUAUCUCGCAGGAACGGUCAGGAUUAGAUUAACUGGGUACCGGUUCGUCUGAUGAUCGGUGUCCGUUGGAUCGACCGUGGGUGGCACAGAUUGGAUCUGGGGAUACCCCCUUCAACGAUUGAUCCUGGGUCGUUGAUCGAAACAUCCAUGGCCCGGGUUAGAUUAGUGGCGUGAGAGCAUCUAAACCGUGGAUUCAUAAUCUGGGGGCUGUUAUCGCAUACCCGUUCGGAUUUAUGGCGUUAUGAUCGUGGCCGUUGGUUCAGAUCUGACGAUCCAUAUCCACUGAUACCCCUUCGACCCGUACAAAUUGCUAAAGAGCCCCUCGGCUUGUUCCGAAUAAACCCACCGUCCUCCGCCUAUGUAAAUUAAUUGCGAUUGAGCCCUGGGUAUUUAUAAACUAGCCCCUGUACUCUUUAGAAUUUGCAACAGUAGUCUGUAGCCUUAUUUUUAGUAAAUAGAAUUUAGGAAAAUGAUUUAUAAUAUAGAAACAAAUCAAAUAAUCUUAGAAAAAUUUAUAACUUGCACGUUUUAACUUCUUUUUGUCCCAUUCCAGUUGCAUUAAAUUCAUAAUAAUGUUGUUUAUCAUCUAGUAACCUUGGUUUGUUAUUAAACAUAGAUUUAAACUAUGCACUUAGUUUAUUCGAUAUUAAGCACCUAAAUCUUUAGAAAAUCAUAACUUUAUAAUCGUAGCUCCAAAUUUAUCGGUUCUCGAAUCUACGAUCUCGUUACGACACGUAGAAUAUUAUUAUGCAGUUUGUGCUUAUGUUUGGUGUGAUGUUAAUUUUGCCUAUACCAUGUUUGUUUGUAUUGCUACGAAUAACAGUGAGGAUCCAAGAAUCUGAAGAUCAUCCUGGUACCUAGAAUCUCGAGUCUCAAGCAAGUUGUGCCCUUGAUCACUCUUUUUACCUAAUAAUGUUCGUUGUUAAUCACUGUGACAUGCUCAGAUUAAUUUGAUGGGACCUAAUAGGUUUCCCUAGCAUUAUUUAUCCCCUAAUUUGCAACUAGAUGAAUUAUUGGGUAGAUUUGCUAUUGCUCUACCUAGUUUUGGGAAACUAAUGUUUUAUUAUGAUCAUGUUCCAAUUAUGUUGUUUAAUUAUUGUUCAUGAUAAGAUUAUAUUGUUAAUUGGAACAUGGAGAACCACCCGAGAAAAUAGUGCUACCACAAGGGUGGUAUGGGACGCCCUUGGCUGACUAAUUAGGAAAGCUAGUGGAGGACUAUCUUACCUGAAAGGUGCAAGGGCAGUAGGGGAGUAGUCGGUAUAGGGAGGUUCUCGAGCUGAUUUUGUUGCGAUGGCUUUUCAAACAGGGGAUUCCUAUGCUACGCUCCCUAGAAACUGUAGCGGGUUUCUGAAUCUAGUGGAACUUUGUAAAGGCCUCGUAGUGGUACCUUGCCUCGCUUCCUUGGUAGAGGUGUAUGGGGUCCGAUCAACCUCGUGGCAAAUGGGUAACACGACUUGUGGGUAAAGAUGCACAACCUCUGCAGAGUGUAAAACUGGUAUAUCAGUCGUGCUCACGGUCAUGAGCGGCUCGGACACUCACAUGAAAUUAAACUCAAUUUGUCAUUUGCAUUGCAUUGUGGGUGUUGUUAUUAAUUUUGAUCUCUUAUUUAAUUGGGUGGGUAUCUACUUAUACCUAGUAACUGUUAAUAAAAAUUUGACCAACUUUAAAAGCAAUGCUCAGCUUUAACCAUCCUCUUUGGUAAGCCUUACACUUCACAUGGGCUCCCACCUUUGGUGGGUUCAUGCACAUUAUUCCCCACAACUUGUUGAGCGAUGAACAUAUGUGAGCUCAUCCUUGCUGUACUCACAUCCCCCCAGGUCAAGAACAGUUACCACAGGAUGAGGCGCAUGAAGAAUGAUGUGAUGAGUUCGUGAGAGGUCUAGGCCGUCGUCUUCUAGUCAACUUUGGGUUGCUGGAUCGUUGUCUUCGUAUGAUAUAAUUAUUUAACUAUUUUGUACAGAACUCCUAUUGUAUAGUAAAUAUGUGACAUUCGUUUCUGUACCAUGAAUCAUCAUAUGUGUGAGACUAGAUCCUAGCACACUUAGUGAUUGUUUCACGCCCGGGUUUUGGUGCCCCUAAAAUCCGGGUGUGACAGUGAAGCACAUAAAUAAAGUAAAGAUUCUAUCAUCGACCGGUAUACCUUUUGAUCUACAGAUUUACCUCCCGUGUUGAGGUCGAGAUGCCCAUUUGUUCCCAGGGGAGUCUCGAUGGGUUUUACAUUCUUCAUUCCAAACUUCU
rnacentral:lncRNA from 1 species